ACGUAGGGUGCGUGCGUUAAUCGGAAUUACUGGGCGUAAAGCGUGCGCAGGCGGCUCUUUAAGACAGGUGUGAAAUCCCCGAGCUUAACUUGGGAAUGGCGCUUGUGACUGAGGAGCUUGAGUGCGGAAGAGGGAGAUGGAAUUCCCGGUGUAGCAGUGAAAUGCGUAGAGAUCGGGAGGAACAUCUGUGGCGAAGGCGACUGCCUGGACCAGCACUGACACUGAGGCACGAAAGCGUGGGGAGCAAACAGGA
rnacentral:rRNA from 1 species